rnacentral:rRNA from 1 species
GAUGAACGCUGGCGGCGUGCCUAAUACAUGCAAGUCGAGCGAUCAGACGAGGAGCUUGCUCCUCUGACGUUAGCGGCGGACGGGUGAGUAACACGUGGAUAACCUACCUAUAAGACUGGGAUAACUUCGGGAAACCGGAGCUAAUACCGGAUAAUAUAUUGAACCGCAUGGUUCAAUAGUGAAAGACGGUUUUGCUGUCACUUAUAGAUGGAUCCGCGCCGCAUUAGCUAGUUGGUAAGGUAACGGCUUACCAAGGCAACGAUGCGUAGCCGACCUGAGAGGGUGAUCGGCCACACUGGAACUGAGACACGGUCCAGACUCCUACGGGAGGCAGCAGUAGGGAAUCUUCCGCAAUGGGCGGAAGCCUGACGGAGCAACGCCGCGUGAGUGAUGAAGGUCUUCGGAUCGUAAAACUCUGUUAUUAGGGAAGAACAAAUGUGUAAGUAACUAUGCACGUCUUGACGGUACCUAAUCAGAAAGCCACGGCUAACUACGUG